rnacentral:rRNA from 1 species
UACGUAGGGUGCGAGCGUUAAUCGGAAUUACUGGGCGUAAAGCGUGCGCAGGCGGUCUGUUAAGACCGAUGUGAAAGCCCUUGGCUUAACCGAGGAAGUGCAUCCGAAACUGGCGAGCUAGAGUACUAAAGAGGAUCGCGGAAUUCCCGGUGUAGAGGUGAAAUUCGUAGAUAUCGGGAGGAACACCAGUGGCGAAGGCGGCGAUCUGGGUAGAUACUGACGCUGAGGUGCGAAAGCCAGGGGAGCAAACGGG